rnacentral:lncRNA from 1 species
GAGUGAGCAGGGGACCAAAAUCAGGGGCGGGGCAAGGCAGAGCUAGGACAGGCAUGGGGCAGGACCAAAUGGAAGAGAAAGAGGUUCCUGAAGGUGAAGGAGCCCAAAAGUGAGGUGAGACCAAAGUGAUGGGUGUGGCCUGAAGGGGAGGAGCCCAUAGUGGGUGGAGCCAGACUGAGUGGAGGCAGGGCUUGGACAGAGAGAGGGAGCUGGUCAUAGAAUGUAGGUGAGGUUGAGGGUUUCUGGGGUCUUUCAGAAACGCAAUGCCACGAGCCAGUCCACCUAAGGUCUAACCAUCGUCUGCAGCCUCUGGCUCCAAACCUUUUGAGGAAAGGAAGGGAUGGGUCCCUGAGAGACCUAGGCCUAUGAUUUCUCCUGUUCCAAUUUGUCCUGCCGGGACUUCCCACUGUGAAGGCAGAGAGCCUCCCCCCUCCGCGGGGAUGCGAGUUGCUUCCUUCUCCUUCCAAAGAUCCAUGAUUGGACCCUCAGCCCCUCACUGCACACACAAGCGGCCCCAGAGUCCGCCCACUGGCCAAGCUCAUUCAUUCAGCAAGCAUUUUCUAGGAGCACAGGGGUUAUGUCAGUGCCUUUCUAUAGGCACCAAGGCUCAUUCACCACGGUUUCCUCAGGGGCUCCGCCAAAUGCCUGGUACAGAGGAGUACUCAGCCCAGUGCCAGAAACUGCAGCUGGAGCCACUGACCUCGGAUGACUCUGACAACUACAAGUGCAUCGCAAGCAAUGACCAUGCAGACACCAUCUAUACUGUGUCCUUGCCGGUGACCGAAGGGGACCCCCUGCUCCCAAGAAGAAGCAGAAGAAGGUGA